rnacentral:misc_RNA from 1 species
GUAGGAGCCGGCUUGCUGGCGAUCAGCGAUAACGCGGUGUGCCUGACACACCGCGUUAUCGCUGAUCGCCAGCAAGCCGGCUCCUAC